GGUUGAUCCUGCCAGUAGUCAUAUGCUUGUCUCAAAGAUUAAGCCAUGCAUGUGUAAGUAUAAGCAACUAUACUGCGAAACUGCGAAUGGCUCAUUAAAUCAGUUAUCGUUCAUUUGAUAGUACCUUACUACAUGGAUACCUGUAGUAAUUCCAGAGCUAACACACGCACAAAAACCCCGACUUCUGGAAGGGGUGCAUUUGUUAGAUACAAAACCAAUACCCUUCGGGGUCUUGCGAUGAUUCAUAACAACUUUGCGAAUCGCAGAGGCCUUGAGCCGGCGAUAAAUCAUUCAAAUUUCUGCCCUAUCAACUUUCGAUGGUACGAUAGAGGCGUACCAUUGUUUUGACGGGUAACGGAGAAUUAGGGUUCGAUUCCGGAGAGGGAGCCUGAGAAAUGGCUACCACAUCCAAGGACGGCAGCAGGCGCGCAAAUUACCCAAUCCCGAUACGGGGAGGUAGUGACAAUAAAUAACAAUACCGGGCCUUCAAGGUCUGGUAAUUGGAAUGAGUACAAUCCAAAACCCUUAACGAGGAACAAUUGGAGGGCAAGUCUGGUGCCAGCAGCCGCGGUAAUUCCAGCUCCAAUAGCGUAUAUUAAAGUUGCUGCAGUUAAAAAGCUCGUAGUCGGAUUUCAGGUUCCACUGGCCGGUCUGCCGAAAGGUAUGCACUGGUCGGCGGGACCUUCCUUCUGAAGAUUGCAUCUGUUCUUAACUGGAUGGGUGUAGGAUUCAGAUCGUUUACUUUGAAAAAAUUAGAGUGUUUAAAGCAGGCCACUGCCGUGAAUACUUCAGCAUGGAAUAAUAGAAUAGGACUUUGGCUCUAUUUUGUUGGUUUCUAGGACCAGAGUAAUGAUUAAUAGGGACAGUUGGGGGCAUCAGUAUUUAAUUGCUAGAGGUGAAAUUCUCAGAUUUAUGAAAGACUAACUUCUGCGAAAGCAUUUGCCAAGGAUGUUUUCAUUGAUCAAGAACGAAAGUUAGGGGAUCGAAGAUGAUUAGAUACCGUCGUAGUCUUAACCAUAAACUAUGCCGACUAGGACUAAGUGGAUGUUAUUAACGACUCCAUUUGUGCCUUAUGAGAAAUCAAAGUCUUUGGGUUCCGGGGGGAGUAUGGUCGCAAGGCUGAAACUUAAAGGAAUUGACGGAAGGGCACCACAAGGCGUGGAGCCUGCGGCUUAAUUUGACUCAACACGGGGAAACUUACCAGGUCCAGACACAGAUUUGAUUGACAGAUUGAGAGCUCUUUCUUGAUUCUGUGGGUGGUGGUGCAUGGCCGUUCUUAGUUGGUGGAGUGAUUUGUCUGGUUAAUUCCGUUAACGAACGAGACCUCAGCCUACUAAAUAGUUGGGCGAAUCCUUGGAUUCGUG
rnacentral:rRNA from 1 species